rnacentral:rRNA from 1 species
UACGUAGGGUGCGAGCGUUGUCCGAAAUUAUUGGGCGUAAAGAGCUUGUAGGCGGUUUGUCGCGUCUGCUGUGAAAAUCCGGGGCUCAACCCCGGACUUGCAGUGGGUACGGGCAGACUAGAGUGUGGUAGGGGAGACUGGAAUUCCUGGUGUAGCGGUGGAAUGCGCAGAUAUCAGGAGGAACACCGAUGGCGAAGGCAGGUCUCUGGGCCACUACUGACGCUGAGAAGCGAAAGCAUGGGGAGCGAACAGG